AAGAUUUGGCCAAAGUCAAACUUUGUAAAGUUUGACCAACUUUCUAGAAAAAAUAUCAAUAUCUACAAUACUAAAGCUAUAUGAUAUGCAAAUUAAUUUCAUGAUGCAUCUAACUAUAUUGAUUACAUAUUGUGAAUCUUGAUAAUUUUUUCUAUAAACUUAGUCAAAGUUAACAAAGUUUGACUUUGACCAAAUCUUA
rnacentral:pre_miRNA from 1 species